UCCCAGUGUGUUUUCCACCCCGGCUCCCGUGCCAGAGAAACAGAAGUGGGGAGCAGAAACAGAGCCUCACAGGCAAGAUCCAGCUGCUAUGUUUCUCAGAAGGAGCAGCGCAGCCAACAACGCUUGCUCGACCCACCGUGAGCAGAGAACUUCUCACGCUGAACACUCAAGGUCCAGACAAAGAUGGAUUCAGGGGCCUGGCAACUACUGAUUUGAGCUACUAGAAAUUCAGCUGGUUGCUCGUCACCCCUCAUCUGCCAGGAGAAUCUUGAUCAUUGGCAAGAAUUCAGUAGUUCUCUGAAAGCAAAGAUGAUUCUGCCUCUCGGGAUACCUCCGCUCUUGAGAGACAACUGGGAUGAGAAGCAAGAAGCAUUCUCUCUCCACCUCCAGGUCUUAGAAAAUCAUGGCCAUGGGCACCAG